AGAGUUUGAUCCUGGCUCAGAUUGAACGCUGGCGGCAUGCCUUACACAUGCAAGUCGAACGGCAGCGCGGGGCAACCUGGCGGCGAGUGGCGAACGGGUGAGUAAUAUAUCGGAACGUGCCCUGGAGUGGGGGAUAACGCAGCGAAAGUUGCGCUAAUACCGCAUACGAUCUAAGGAUGAAAGCAGGGGACCGCAAGGCCUUGUGCUCCUGGAGCGGCCGAUAUCUGAUUAGCUAGUUGGUGGGGUAAAGGCCUACCAAGGCAUCGAUCAGUAGCUGGUCUGAGAGGACGACCAGCCACACUGGAACUGAGACACGGUCCAGACUCCUACGGGAGGCAGCAGUGGGGAAUUUUGGACAAUGGGCGAAAGCCUGAUCCAGCAAUGCCGCGUGAGUGAAGAAGGCCUUCGGGU
rnacentral:rRNA from 1 species